rnacentral:rRNA from 1 species
GACGAACCGUCCUAACGUUGUUCGGAAUCACUGGGCUUAAAGGGCGCGUAGGCGGGCUGCCAAGUCCGGGGUGAAAUCUUUCGGCUCAACCGGAAAAUAGCCUUGGAUACUGGCGGUCUCGAGGGAGGCAGGGGCCGUUGGAACUUCCGGUGGAGCGGUGAAAUGCGUUGAUAUCGGAAGGAACGCCGGUGGCGAAAGCGAACGGCUGGACCUCUUCUGACGCUGAGGCGCGAAAGCUUGGGGAGCGAACGGG